rnacentral:rRNA from 1 species
AAAUUUAAGUCAGUGGUGAAAGCCUGCAGCUUAACUGUAGAAUUGCCAUUGAUACUGAAUUUCUUGAAUCUAAUUGAAGUAGGCGGAAUAUGACAUGUAGCGGUGAAAUGCUUAGAUAUGUCAUAGAACACCGAUAGCGAAGGCAGCUUACUAAGUUAGUAUUGACGCUAAUGCACGAAAGCGUGGGGAGCGAACAGGAUUAGAUACCCUGGUAGUCCACGCCGUAAACUAUGAUUACUCGCUAUUGGCGAUACACUGUCAGUGGCUAAGCGAAAGUGAUAAGUAAUCCACCUGGGGAGUACGAUCGCAAGGUUGAAACUCAAAGGAAUUGACGGGGGCCCGCACAAGCGGUGGAGCAUGUGGUUUAAUUCGAUGAUACGCGAGGAACCUUACCAGGUCUUAAAUGCAAAAUGACAGAUUGAGAAAUCAAUCCUUCUUCGGACAAUUUGCAAGGUGCUGCAUGGUUGUCGUCAGCUCGUGCCGUGAGGUGUCAGGUUAAGUCCUAUAACGAGCGCAACCCCUAUUCUUAGUUGCCAGCGGUUCGGCCGGGGACUCUAAGAAAACUGCCAGCGCAAGCUGUGAGGAAGGUGGGGAUGACGUCAAAUCAUCACGGCCCUUACGACCUGGGCCACACACGUGCUACAAUGGUAGGUACAAAGGGCAGCCACUUGGCAACAAGGAGCUAAUCUCUAAAACCUAUCUCAGUUCGGAUUGGAGUCUGAAACUCGACUCUAUGAAGCUGGAAUCGCUAGUAAUCGCGCAUCAGCCAUGGCGCGGUGAAUACGUUCCCGGGCCUUGUACACACCGCCCGUCAAGCCAUGGAAGCUGGGAGUACCUGAAGUCGGUAACCAUUUAGGAGCUGCCUAGGGUAAAACUAGUGACUGGGGCUAAGUCGUAACAAGGUAGCCGUACCGGAAGGUGUGGCUG